rnacentral:siRNA from 1 species
UGGAGAAGCAGGGCACGUA